rnacentral:rRNA from 1 species
GACGAACGCUGGCGGCGUGCUUAACACAUGCAAGUCGAACGGUAAGGCCCUUCGGGGUACACGAGUGGCGAACGGGUGAGUAACACGUGGGUGAUCUGCCCUGCACUUCGGGAUAAGCCUGGGAAACUGGGUCUAAUACCGGAUAGGACCACUGCCUGCAUGGGUGGUGGUGGAAAGCUUUUGCGGUGUGGGAUGGGCCCGCGGCCUAUCAGCUUGUUGGGGGGGUGAUGGCCUACCAAGGCGACGACGGGUAGCCGGCCUGAGAGGGUGACCGGCCACACUGGGACUGAGAGACGGGCCAGACUGCUGCGGGAGGCAGCAGUGGGGAAGAUUGCACGAUGGGCGCAAGCGUGAUGCAGCGGCGCCGCGUGAGGGAUGACGGCCUUCGGGUUGGAAACCUCUUUCAGCACCGACGAAGCGCAAGUGACGGUAGGUGCAGAAGAAGGACCGGCCAACAACGUGCCAGCCGCCGCCGUAA